GACAGAGGGUGCUAGCGUUGUUCGGAAUUACUGGGCGUAAAGGGCGUGUAGGCGGUGAAGUGUGUCCGGUGUGAAAGCCCCCGGCUUAACUGGGGAAGUGCAUUGGAAACUACUUUGCUAGAGUGCGAGAGAGGAUAGCGGAAUUCCCAGUGUAGAAGUGAAAUUCGUAGAUACUGGGAGGAACACCUGCGGCGAAGGCGGCUAUCUGGCUCGCAACUGACGCUGAGACGCGAAAGCGUGGGUAGCAAACAGG
rnacentral:rRNA from 1 species